ensembl:lncRNA
CACAAAACACAAGGGGUUUGGUCUAGGACUCUCCUGUCCUUUGAUUUCCUAGGUAUAGGGGAACCCCCAGAAGCCCCGUCCCCCUAGUUGCUUCCUCUGAUCUGUGAAUUCUGGCUUCUCUAACAUUUCUGAUAUGAUGAUUCAGGAAAAAAGUGGACUUGUCAGAGAGAGGAAGGGAAGAUAAAAAUAAAAUCAAGUUAGCCAGGCCUAUGAGUUCCUCUCAUCUUAGUCAUCCCCCGCUGCCCUUCCCCAUGAACAUCCACAAUCUUAAAAAUCCCACAGCCCUGCGCAGAGUGGGAGCCAGACUUUGGGGUCCAGGUCAAGGCCAGAGGGUAAAGGGGACAUGAUUCAGCCCUGUGGGCCUGCGGACGGACGGGGGGAGUGGGGGGCCCUGCAGGCCCCCCCGCCGCCGAGGACGCAGGGCUGUGGGCUAUGAGUCCUGCCUCACCCUGCAGCCUGCACCGCCUCUGCUUCUCCAAGCGGGAGCCGCCGAGUGAUUGAUGGGCCCCAGCUUGAAUGGAAAGUCCAGAUUCCAGCAACACAGCUUAAGAGGUGAUGGUGAUUUUCGACUCAUUCCCGUUACAAACAGCCGACCUUCCUACCGAGUUCAAGUACCUUCUGCCUGGCCUGGAAGAACCGUAUCUCUCUGUCACCCUCUUCCUCUGGCCCUCACCUGCCCUCCCCUGAACAUGCAUUUUGCCUGAGAGGAGACAGAGGCGGUUGAGAUGGAGUCUUGCUAUAUGGCCCAGCUGGUAAUGCCUGGAUUCUUGAGUCCCUCCCUGGCUCAUCCCUGGGAGAAGCACCGAACCCCAUGUCUGACACCUGUCCGGAAAUGGAGCCUGCACAUUGACCCUAGGAUAUACAAAAGGAGGCCCAUGUUGAUUCAGAGGAUGAAUGAGAGGAACUAUAGAGUUUGCUUCGUAGAUCAAAGGAAAGAUGAGGGGAACAGAAUGAAUAAAAUAUUGGAAAUAUGAGUGAGUGAAUCUGGUAGUGGAAAUGCAGAGCAAAGAAAUGACAACAGAGAAUUCCCACAAGAGGGAAAGUUCCAUGCUGGGAAGAAGUGAGCAAGAAGGUGUGCCCAGCUUUGGGAGAACUUAAAAUGCCAGACCCCUGAGUUUAAGCUUCAUAGGGCAACAUGGAACUACUGCAGAUAUUUUUUAAAAUUUAAAAUAUUCUAAUGAAAUAUUUCAUUUAUACAAACAUACCUAUUAUGUGAAUAUAACAAAUGAAGAAUAAAAUAAACACCUGUGUGCUCUCUAUUCCACUUAAGAAUUAGAACAUAGCCAAUACUUUUGAAUUCCUUUUGUAUUCCUCUUCCAUAUGUUUCCAAUUCUGUGUUUCCUAUUCCCAAAGAGUGAUCAUUAUUCUGAAUUAUAUAUUCAUUAUUCUCUUGCCUUUGGGUUUAAUUUUACUAUGUAUAUAUUAAGUUUCAUAUAAUUUUAAAUUAUAUAUAGAUUAAUUUCUCCCUUGUUAUUUCAGGCUAUUAAUCUUACUUUUUCUAUGUUUUAUUUCUCCCCUACCCUUCUUGCCUUCUUUGGGAUUGUUUGUUGUUCAUUUUAGUUUCCUUUUACUGGUUUGGAAAUUAUUCACUCCAUUAAUAUUUAUUUAAAGAUAAACACUUACAUUUUAUUAUGUGCACUUUAACAGUCUAAAAUCUGUUAGUAUCUUAACUACAUUUUUCUCAAGUACAAGGAUCUUGGAAUGCUUUAUUUUGUAUUACCCCCGUCCUCUUCAGCAUUGUCCAGUUAUUUUGUUUUUAAAUACACAAAAUAGAUAUUAUUACUUUUGUUUUACUUUGUCAAUAUUUGUUAGACUUAUAUAUAUAUGUUUCAUUUUCAUUGUUCAAAGUUUCUUCCUGCAUUGCUAACCUUCUGCUAAAUUCCUUAGUGAGGAUAUCUUUGCAAUAAACUAUUUUAUUUUAUUUUUUAAUCUGAUAGGAACUUAAAAUCUGGGUUUUCUGGAUAGACUGUCCAUAGUUGACAGUUACUUUUUCCUGGCACAUUAAAGAUAUUAUUCCAUUAUAUUCUGACUUCCAUUGUCACAAUUGAGAAGUCUGUGGUUAGUCUAGUUAUUGAUUUCUGUUUUGCAUUUUUAUUUUUGGUGAUCAAUCUUUUGUGUGUUUAAAAAUAUUUUUAUUUUCAUUGCUCUUCUGCAGUUUAACUAGAAAGUUUAUAGGAAUGCAUUAUAUUUUAUUUAUACUACUUUAUAUAAUUCUGUUUUUUAUAUGAAUGUAUAUCUUUCACAAAUUUUGGAAAUUUCUUAUUAUUUUUCUUUCAAUUAUUCCUUUGAAUAUUGCCUCUAUCCCAUUCACUAUUUCUGUAACUUCAGUUACAUAUGUGUUAUAUACAUUCUAAUUCUAUCCUUCAUGUUUCUUGACUUCACCUUCCUUCCUGUUUUCUACCACCUACUUCUCUAUGCUGAGUUCUAUAUAACUUGUCAGCUCUCUACCAUUUCAUAAAUUUAUUUCUCAAAGGUGUCUAAAAUGAUGUUAAAACCUUUCUUGGAGUUUUUAAUUUCAAUGAUUGUAUUUUUCAUUUUAAUUAAAAAAUUUAUCUUGCCAUGUUUUGAUACUCUCUGGCACUUUGUCCGUUUUCCCAAUUUUGUCUCUUUUCUUUAAAUAAUUUCAUAAUUAGUUAUAUUCAUUCUCUGAUAACCCAGUAUUCAAAUCUGUUGGUGGGCAUAAAUUUGAUGUUUGCCAUUUCUACUGAUGCUAGCUUCUGUUAGCUUGUUACUUUUUUCAUUUCUUAAAUUUUUACUUGGGCUCUUGUUUGAUUGAACAUAAUUUGUGGGAUCUGAUUUGAGGAUUUUGUGGUUUUUAUUUUCCCCCUCAAAAAAUCUGCUUCUGUUUGAAACUGGGAGCACUAUUAAACCAGACAGACUUCAGUUUCUCAGAUGGGCUUUUUUUUUCCAUAAGAGCAAUACAAAUUCAGACUCCUGAUGCCCCAGUGAGAACAGAUCUAGGUUACACAUUAUAAGGGAAGAUGAUUUAUAUAUAUUUCCAUCUAGAGCUACCACAGAGAUAGUUUUGCUUUGUUAGAAGGCUGCUUUUUUCAGUUUGCCCUUUCAAUGAAGACAUAUAUUUAUGUGGAGGCCUUGGUAAGUUUAGCUCCUUGACCUUGCAUGAGGCCAAAGCCUGGCCUCCCAUUUCCCAUUCACAUCAAAACCACAUUGUAUUAGGGACAGGACUAAUAGAAUAGAUAUGUAUAUGAAAGGGAGUUUAUUAAGGAGUGUUGACUCACACGAUCACAAGGUGAAGCCCCACAAUAGGCUCUCUGCAGGCUGAGGAGCAAGGAAGUCAGUCCAAGUCCCAAAACCUCAAAAGUAGGGAAGCUAGCAGUGCAACCUUCGGUCUGUGGCCGAAGGUCUGAAAGCCCCUGGCAAACCACUGGUGUAGGUCCAAGAGUCCAAAAGCUGAAGAGCUUGAAGUCUGAUGUUUGAGGUCAGGAGGCAUCCAGCACAAAAGAAAGACAGAGGCCAGAAGACUUAGGCAGUCUAGUCUUUCCAUGUUCUUCUGCCUGCUUUUAUUCUGGCCAUUGUGGCAGCUGAGCAGAUGGUGCCAACCCAGACUGAGAGUGGGUCUGCCUUUCCCAGUCCACUGACUCAAAUGUUAAUCUCCUUUGGCAUGACUCAAAGUGCUCAUGCCAGUAAACUAUUUUAUUUACUACUUUAGGCAUGACUCAAAGUGCUCAUGCCUAGCACUUUGGGAGGCCGAGGCGGGCAGAUCAUGAGGUCAGGAGUUUGAGACUAGCCUGGCCAAUAUGAUGAAACCCCGUCUCUACUAAAAAUACAAAAAAAUUAGCCGGGCAUGGUGGCGUGUGCCUGUAGUCCCAGUUACUCAGGUGGCUGAGGCAGGAGAAUUGCUUGAACCUGGGAGGCAGAGGUUGCAGUGAGCUGAGAUCGUGCCACAAGCCUGGGUGACAGAGCCAGACUCCAUCUC